rnacentral:pre_miRNA from 1 species
UAAGUACUCCCUCCGUCCGGAAAAACUUGUCACCAAAAUAGAUAAAAGGGGAUGUAUCUAGACAUAUUUUAGUUCUACAUACAUCUCUUUUUAUCCAUUUUGAUGACAAGUAUUUUCGGACGGAGGGAGUAAUAA